rnacentral:rRNA from 1 species
CCUACGGGGGGCAGCAGUGGGGAAUAUUGCACAAUGGGGGAAACCCUGAUGCAGCGACGCCGCGUGAGUGAAGAAGUAUUUCGGUAUGUAAAGCUCUAUCAGCAGGGAAGAAAAUGACGGUACCUGAUUAAGAAGCCCCGGCUAACUACGUGCCAGCAGCCGCGGUAAUACGUAGGGGGCAAGCGUUAUCCGGAUUUACUGGGUGUAAAGGGGGCGUAUACGGCAGCACAAGUCUGGAGUGAAAUGCCGGGGCUUAACCCCGGAACCGCUUUGGAAACUGUGCAGCUAGAGUGCAGGAGAGGUAGGUGGAAUUCCUAGUGUAGCGGUGAAAUGCGUAGAUAUUAGGAGGAACACCAGUGGCGAAGGCGGCUUACUGGACUGUAACUGACGUUGAGGCUCGAAAGCGUGGGGAGCAAACAGGAUUAGAUACCCCUGUAGUC